GGAUGUGAUGGGGAGCGAAAUUUAGUAGCGAAGUAGCUGAUUUCACACUGUCAAGAAAAGUCUCUAUCGAGGUUAAAGGUACCCGUACCGCAAACCGACACAGGUGGGUGAGGAGAGUAUCCUAAGGCCAGCGAGAGAACUGUUGUUAAGGAACUCGGCAAAAUGACCCCGUAACUUAGGGAUAAGGGGUGCCACCAUCAGGUGGCCGCAGAGAAUAGGCCCAAGCGACUGUUUACCAAAAACAUAGGUUUCUGCUAAGUCGCAAGACGAUGUAUAGGAGCUGACGCCUGCCCGGUGCUGGAAGGUUAAGGGGAUCUGUUAGAGCAAUCGAAGCAGUGAACUUAAGCCCCAGUAAACGGCGGCCGUAACUAUAACGGUCCUAAGGUAGCGAAAUUCCUUGGCGGGUAAGUUCCGACCCGCACGAAAGGCGUAACGAUUUGGGCACUGUCCCAACAACAGACUCGGUGAAAUUGUAAUUCCGGUGAAGAUGCCGGAUACCUGCGACAGGACGGAAAGACCCCAUGGAGCUUUACUGUAGCUUGACAUUGGGUCUUGGUACUACAUGUACAGGAU
rnacentral:rRNA from 1 species